CGGGGCUGGAACCGGUCACUGUGUUACAGCUCUGCUCUUUGUCUUUAUUUUUAGGAAGUAAAGCCGGAUAGCAGCAGUGAAGGCGAAGCAUUGUGAAGGUGGUCUACUUGCAAGAUAUCCCAGCCCAGGGUGCCAGAGGACAGGUUCCGUGCAGAGAGGCAGAGCCGAAGUUUGCGAUCGGCCGCACCGAAGCCGGCGCGGGGGACGUCUCGACGUACGCAUCCUAUCGAGGAUGGGUCUUGUCCUAUUACGUUACAAAAGGUCUCUGAUGCCUAUUUUCUGAGGAUCUACCAUUUGAUGUUGAGAAGCAGCAGCGAGAAGAUGUCUCGGGGUAUUUUGUUCAGCACAGUGUUUCAAAUAAGGGUUGCGGUCACUGUGUGAGUUAGAGUCUCCUGCUGUGUGUCAGGGCGUGUCUGUCUGUGAGAGUCGGUGGGUCUGGGUGUGCUUGUGUGUGUGCGUGUUGUGCGGUUCUAACCUUGUGUGUAUUGCUUUUGCUUUUCAGGACUUUAAAUUCACUUUUAAAUUUAGAAUAAAAAAUCCCCAGCUGGGGGGGUUUUUUUUUUUUCCCUCCCAGCUGGGGUUUUUUUUCCUCGGUCCCGGCCGGUCUGCGAGGCGACAGUCAUCGCCUAAGUUUGGGCACGGACCGGCCCCGGACCGGGGUUUUCGUCAGGCAGGCUGAUUUUUGAGGCCCCUGGGAACUGUGUUCCCGUGGGGUAGGAGGGGUGUGUGUGUGUGUGUGUGUUGUGCGGUUCUAACCUUGUGUGUAUUGCUUUUGCUUUUCAGGACUUUAAAUUCACUUUUAAAUUUAGAAUAAAAAAUCCCCAGCUGGGGGGGUUUUUUUUUUUUCCCUCCCAGCUGGGGUUUUUUUUCCUCGGUCCCGGCCGGUCUGCGAGGCGACAGUCAUCGCCUAAGUUUGGGCACGGACCGGCCCCGGACCGGGGUUUUCGUCAGGCAGGGUGAUUUCGAGGCCCCCGGGAACCGAGUUCCCGUGGGGUAGGAGGGGUGUGUGUUGUGGGGUUCUAACCUUGUGUGUAUUGCUUUUCAGGACUUUAAAUUCACUUUUAAAUUUAGAAUAAAAAAUCCCCAGCUGGGGGGGUUUUUUUUUUUUCCCUCCCAGCUGGGGUUUUUUUUCCUCGGUCCCGGCCGGUC